CGAGUCGACUUUGCGCGUCCGGGGUUCCACAUAUUAUUAUUAUUAUUAUUACAUUAUAUUAUUAUCACGAGCGUACGACUACACCGCACUCGCGCGCCGCGACGCGAACGUCUAAUAAAUUACACCCGGGCUCCCUUUAUAAUAACGGUAAUGAUAAUACGGCCCUCGGGGUGUACAACGCCGACGAUAUUAGUUGUACAGGGCAUCUAACCCGUGCGAUACACCUGCUUCGCAUAGAGCACCCGCGGUCUGUCCAAGUGCACACGUGUACAUAAAUGUAGGCUGGGCGUACGUUUAAAAAAAAA